rnacentral:rRNA from 1 species
AUACGUAGGGUGCGAGCGUUGUCCGGAAUUACUGGGCGUAAAGAGCUCGUAGGUGGUUUGUCGCGUCGUCUGUGAAAUUCCGGGGCUUAACUCCGGGCGUGCAGGCGAUACGGGCAUAACUUGAGUACUGUAGGGGAGACUGGAAUUCCUGGUGUAGCGGUGAAAUGCGCAGAUAUCAGGAGGAACACCGGUGGCGAAGGGGGGUCGCUGGGCAGUAACUGACGCUGAGGAGCGAAAGCAUGGGUAGCGAACAGGAUUAGAUACCCGGGUAGGCCAUGCCGUAAACGGUGGGCGCUAGGUGUAGGGGUCUUCCACGACUUCUGUGCCGUAGCUAACGCAUUAAGCGCCCCGCCUGGGGAGUACGGCCGCAAGGCUAAAACUCAAAUGAAUUGACGGGG